GAUGAAGAAACGCAGCAAAAUGCGAUAAGUAAUGUGAAUUGCAGAAUUCAGUGAAUCAUCGAAUCUUUGAACGCACAUUGCGCCCGCUGGUAUUCCGGCGGGCAUGCCUGUUCGAGCGUCAUUUCAACCCUCAAGCCCCCGGGUUUGGUGUUGGGGAUCGGCUCUGCCCUUCUGGGCGGUGCCGCCCCCGAAAUACAUUGGCGGUCUCGCUGCAGCCUCCAUUGCGUAGUAGCUAACACCUCGCAACUGGAACGCGGCGCGGCCAUGCCGUAAAACCCCAACUUCUGAAUGUUGACCUCGGAUCAGGUAGGAAUACCCGCUGAACUUAAGCAUAUCAAUAAGCGGAGGA
rnacentral:misc_RNA from 1 species